rnacentral:rRNA from 1 species
GACGAACGCUGGCGGCGUGCUUAACACAUGCAAGUCGAACGGUGAAGCGCUUGCCUUUUUGGUGGGUGUGGAUGAGUGGCGAACGGGUGAGUAACACGUGAGUAACCUGCCCUCUUCUUCUGGAUAACCUCAUGAAAGUGGGGCUAAUACGGGGUAUUCCGGGUCUGUCGCAUGGCGGGUUUGGGAAAGAUUGCGCCUUUGGGUGUUUUCGGUGGGGGAUGGGCUCGCGGCCUAUCAGCUUGUUGGUGGGGUGAUGGCCUACCAAGGCGGUGACGGGUAGCCGGCCUGGGAGGGUGGACGGCCACACUGGGACUGAGACACGGCCCAGCCUCCUGCGGGAGGCAGCGGUGGGGAAUAUUGCACAAUGGGCGCAAGCCUGAUGCAGCGACGCCGCGUGAGGGAUGGAGGCCUUCGGGUUGUGAACCUCUUUCGCCAGUGAAGCAGGCCUGCUCCUGUGUGGGUGGGUUGACGGUAGCUGGAUAAGAAGCGCCGGCUAACUACGUG